GAUGAACGCUGGCGGCGUGCCUAAUACAUGCAAGUCGAGCGAACGGACGAGAAGCUUGCUUCUCUGAUGUUAGCGGCGGACGGGUGAGUAACACGUGGAUAACCUACCUAUAAGACUGGGAUAACUUCGGGAAACCGGAGCUAAUACCGGAUAAUAUUUUGAACCGCAUGGUUCAAAAGUGAAAGACGGUCUUGCUGUCACUUAUAGAUGGAUCCGCGCUGCAUUAGCUAGUUGGUAAGGUAACGGCUUACCAAGGCAACGAUGCAUAGCCGACCUGAGAGGGUGAUCGGCCACACUGGAACUGAGACACGGUCCAGACUCCUACGGGAGGCAGCAGUAGGGAAUCUGCCGCAAGGGGCGAAAGCCUGACGGAGCAACGCCGCGUGAGUGAUGAAGGUCUUCGGAUCGUAAAACUCUGUUAUUAGGGAAGAACAUAUGUGUAAGUAACUGUGCACAUCGUGACGGUACCUAAUCAGAAAGCCACGGCUAACGACG
rnacentral:rRNA from 1 species